ensembl:lncRNA
CCUGAUUAUACAGCAGCAGUAUUAUCUUGCCCAGAGACCUUGCCUGGAACCCAUUCUCCCUGGUUAAUCUUGUGCCAGUUAUCUCAGGACGAUACUUUGGGAAAAGUUCUGGUGGAAUUCUUACAGCCUUGAGAGUUAAAUCUUCUUUGGAGGCCACGAAUCUGGUGGCACCGUCCACUGCUUACUGCAUAAGCUAUCAUCUUGGGGGCUUCCCCAGGAUCUUCAAGACAAGGUCAUACAGACAUUGGCAUAAGGAACUUCACGAGCUUCUUGGAGACUAUUAUUUUCACUGGCAUCCUCGAUCAUCAGGGUACUGUGGCUUCCCAGACAAAGCAAAGGUGAUGAAGCACUUCCGGUCACGCUUCAAAAUGGACUCCCCUGAUGCUCAACUCUCAUCACAGAUACAAUUUUGAUCUAUAGGCUCUCCUUGGUGGAAAACUAUCUCGACUGUAAUAAUU